CUACGGGGGGCACCAGUGAGGAAUAUUGCACAAUGGGGGGAACCCUGAUGCAGCAACGCCGCGUGGAGGAUGACGCAUUUCGGUGUGUAAACUCCUUUUAUAUGUCAAGGAAAUGACGGUAGCAUAUGAAUAAGCACCGGCUAACUCCGUCCAGCAGCCGCGGUAAUACGGAGGGGGCAAGCGUUACUCGGAAUCACUGGGCGUAAAGGACGCGUAGGCGGGUUGGAAAGUCAGGUGUGAAAUCCUACAGCUUAACUGUAGAACUGCACUUGAAACUUCUAAUCUAGAGUAUGGGAGGGGGAGAUGGAAUUAGUGGUGUAGGGGUAAAAUCCGUAGAUAUCACUAGGAAUACCUAAAGCGAAGGCGAUCUCCUGGAACAUUACUGACGCUAAGGCGUGAAAGCGUGGGGAGCAAACAGGAUUAGAUACCCUCGUAGUC
rnacentral:rRNA from 1 species